CUAAGAAUAUUCCGCAAUGGACGGAAGUCUGACGGAGCGACGCCGCGUGGAUGACGAAGGCCGAAAGGUUGUAAAGUUCUUUUGCUGGGGAAGAAUAACCGCAGGAGGGAAUGCCUGUGGGAUGACAAGAACCGGCGAAUAAGCCCCGGCCAACUACGUGCCAGCAGCCGCGGUAACACGUAGGGGGGCGAGCGUUGUUCGGAAUUACUGGGCGUAAAGGGCAUGUAGGCGGCUUGGAAAGCCUGGCGUGAAAGUCUGCAGCUUAACUGCAGGGGUGCGCUGGGAACUGCUGAGCUUGAGUGACGGAGAGGGAGCUGGAAUUCCUGGUGUAGGGGUGAAAUCUGUAGAUAUCAGGAAGAACACCGAUGGCGAAGGCAAGCUCCUGGCCGAUGACUGACGCUGAGGUGCGAAAGUGUGGGGAUCAAACAGGAUUAGAUACCCUGGUAGUCCACACAGUCAACGAUGUGCACUAGGUGCUGGGGCGGUAGCUUCGGUGCCGGAGCGAACGUGGUAAGUGCACCGCCUGGGGAGUAUGCUCGCAAGGGUGAAACUUAAAUGAUUGACGGGGUCAUAGCU
rnacentral:rRNA from 1 species